GCUGCAUGUAGGAGUAAAACUGGCCUUGUUCGACCGGAGCCUAGGGACCGGAGCAACAGCUGAGUAGGUCAAAAAGUGCUGGGACCAUCUGAAUCUCCCACGACCAAAGGUGAUUUUACCUGGCAGUAGGCGCCGGCCGAGGAGGACCAGAACUACACCCACUAGAGCGGUGAGAGCCAGCAGUGCCAGGAUCAAGAGCCCGAGGUGUCUAUGGGAGACUGAAUCAAGCAGGUAAAGGCGAGCCAUCUCUCGAGUGCCCAUGCUCCCCCCCUCCUCACUCAAGAACUCACCAUCAGGACACAAGACGUGCUUCCAGGCAAAAUGGACAUCUGACCUCCACACCUGAGGACACAGGGCCCCACUCAUGUGAGCUAGCGUACCCCCUCCUCCCAGGGAAGGGGUCCCCGCUGGCUUGGGAAUUCCUGCAGCUCUAGUUUUGUGUCUAAUACACAUGCCAGUGAGACCACAGGUGCUCCCACAGCUGGCCUGGGCUGGAGAGCUCAGACCAGCUGAAAUAGUCAGCCACCAAUGAGCGCUGGGCCUUGCCACCACACCUCACUGUGGACAUGCAAUACUCAGUUUCCUCUUUUUUUUUAAUGGGAAGGCAAACUAUAAGUGUUUUGUUUUUAAGACAGCAUAUAACUAGUGAUGGCUAAUUCCAGUUUAAAAUACUUGGGCAAACCAAACACUUUAAUGGACUCUGUGCUGGGGGUCUGUGAGGAGUAAGGGUAGGAUUUCUUACCAGGAUGCAAUUCUCCUGCCUCAGGAAGGGGAUGAUGAGGUCUAGCGUCACUGGGACUGAGCCCUGGGUCUGUGGGGACAAAAAGUAGAAUGGUUGUCCCCAUACAUGCAAAUCUGAUAGCGUCUCACCUACUCACCUAGCCAAUCUAUUAGAGGGCACAGUGACACUUCCAGAAAACUUCCCCAGCCACCCCAACUACCACUGACUUUCCUCAGAUAGUAGCUGCUUUGGCUGAGUUAACACACACAGAGUGCCACCAUGAGGAUGGAGGGAGACACAGCCAUUGUCUGUGUCCUGUGUGCAUCCCUUCACCCACACAGCUGAAGAGGCGUCUUGUCCACUGGGGAGAAUAAGCUUCGGAGGCUGCAGGCUGGGCGGAGGCUCGACUAUAGCUUUUCUAAUUCUGGGUUUGUGUCCUUUCUGUGGCCUUGGAUGCAGACUCUUUAUUUGCAGAUGGGAGGCGGGGGCCAAUAAUCUUUAGUGGGUUACUGGGAGCAUCAAAUGGCAAUAUGUAUAUGGAUACUUUAAUAAACUUAUAUAUAAUUGUUGUGUA